AACGAACGCUGGCGGCAUGCCUAACACAUGCAAGUCGAACGAGACCUUCGGGUCUAGUGGCGCACGGGUGCGUAACGCGUGGGAACCUGCCCUUAGGUUCGGAAUAACUCCCCGAAGGGGGUGCUAAUACCGGAUAAUGUCUUCGGACCAAAGAUUUAUCGCCUUUGGAUGGGCCCGCGUUGGAUUAGCUAGUUGGUAGGGUAAAAGCCUACCAAGGCGACGAUCCAUAGCUGGUCUGAGAGGAUGAUCAGCCACACUGGGACUGAGACACGGCCCAGACUCCUACGGGAAGCAGCAGUGGGGAAUAUUGGACAAUGGGCGAAAGCCUGAUCCAGCAAUGCCGCGUGAGUGAUGAAGGCCUUAGGGUUGUAAAGCUCUUUUACCCGGGAUGAUAAUGACAGUACCGGGAGAAUAAGCGCCGGCUAACUCCGUG
rnacentral:rRNA from 1 species